AAUCAACGCUGGCGGCGUGCCUCAGACAUGCAAGUCGAACGAUUAAACUUUCCUUCGGGAAAGAUACAAAGUGGCGCACGGGUGAGUAACACGUAGGUAAUGUACCUUUGGGUGGGGAAUAACCAUCGGAAACGAUGGCUAAUACCGCAUAAUGCAGCGGCAUCGCAAGAUGACAGUUGUUAAAGAUUUAUCGCCUAAAGAGCAGCCUGCGGCAGAUUAGGUAGUUGGAAGGUAAUGGCUUACCAAGCCUGCGAUCUGUAACCGACCUGAGAGGGUGGUCGGUCACACUGACACUGAAUAACGGGCAGACUCCUACGGGAGCAGCAGUC
rnacentral:rRNA from 1 species